rnacentral:rRNA from 1 species
UACGAAGGGGGCUAGCGUUGCUCGGAAUCACUGGGCGUAAAGCGCACGUAGGCGGAUUGCUAAGUCAGGGGUGAAAUCCUGGAGCUCAACUCCAGAACUGCCUUUGAUACUGGUGAUCUUGAGUCCGGAAGAGGUGAGUGGAACUCCUAGUGUAGAGGUGGAAUUCGUAGAUAUUAGGAAGAACACCAGUGGCGAAGGCGGCUCACUGGUCCGGUACUGACGCUGAGGUGCGAAAGCGUGGGGAGCAAACAGG